rnacentral:rRNA from 1 species
UACGAAGGGUGCAAGCGUUACUCGGAAUUACUGGGCGUAAAGCGUGCGUAGGCGGUUCUUUAAGUCUGAUGUGAAAGCCCUGGGCUCAACCUGGGAAUGCAUUGGAAACUGGCGACCUAGAGUGCGGUAGAGGGUAGUGGAAUUCCCGGUGUAGCAGUGAAAUGCGUAGAGAUCGGGAGGAACAUCUGUGGCGAAGGCGACUGCCUGGACCAGCACUGACACUGAGGCACGAAAGCGUGGGGAGCAAACAGG